UACGAAGGGGACUAGCGUUGUUCGGAUUUACUGGGCGUAAAGCGCGCGUAGGCGGAUCGCUAAGUCAGGGGUGAAAUCCCAGGGCUCAACCCUGGAACUGCCUUUGAUACUGACGAUCUGGAGAUCGGGAGAGGUUGGUGGAAUUCCGAGUGUAGAGGUGAAAUUCGUAGAUAUUCGGAGGAACACCAGUAGCGAAGGCGGCCAACUGGCCCGAUAUUGACGCUGAGGCGCGAAAGCGUGGGGAGCAAACAGG
rnacentral:rRNA from 1 species